rnacentral:lncRNA from 1 species
GGGGUUUUGGGGGGGCUGAGGGGGCCCUAUGGGGUUCUAUGGGAUUUUAUAGGGCUUUGGGGGGGUUCUAUGGGGCUCUAUGGGAUCCUAUGGGUUUUUAUGGGGCCAUAGGGGUUUUAUGAGGCUGUAUGGGAUCCUAUGGGGUUUCUAUGGGGCUCUAUGGGAUCCUAUGGGGUUUUAUGGGGCCAUAGGGGUUUCUAUGGGGCUCUAUGGGAUCCUAUGGGAUUUUUGGGGCUCUAUGGGAUCCUAUGGGAUUUUAUAGGGCUUGGGGGGGUUCUGUGGGGCUCUAUGGGAUCCUAUGGGGUUUUAUGCGGUUCUAUGGGAUCUUAUGGGAUUUUAUGCGCUCUAUGGGAUCCUAUGGGGUUUUAUGGGGCUCUAUGGGAUGCUAUGGGGUUUUUUGGGGCUCUGUGGGAUCCUAUGGGGUUUUAUGGGGCUCUAUGGGAUGCUAUUGGGUUUUUUGGGGCUCUGUGGGAUCCUAUGGGGUUUUAUGGGGCUCUAUGAGAUCCUAUUGGGUUUUUUGGGGCUCUGUGGGAUCCUAUGGGGUUUUAUGGGGCUCUGUAGGAUCCUAUGGGGUUUCUAUGGGGCUCUAUGGGAUCCUAUGGGGUUUUAUGGGCUCUAUAGGAUCCUAUGGAGUUUUAUGUGGCUCUAUGGGAUGCUAUGAGGUUUUUAUAGGGCCGGGGAGAUUCUAUGGGGUUCUCUGGGCUUUAUGGGGUUCUGUGGGGUUUUGGGGGGGCCGUAACCCUUCCCCUAAACCCCCCCCGCCCCACAGGUGCUGUUUUUGGGGCCGCUGAUGCAGCUGUGCAUGGACUGCCCAUGGCGAUGCAUGGAGGGGCUGCGGGGGCUGCUGGGUAAGGGGGGGUUUCUAUGGGGUUUCUGUGGGGCUGGGGGUCGGGGGGGCAGCGGGGGGGCGAUCUGUGGGUCAGGGGUCCGUGUGUGGGGCAGAGCGGUGGAUGUGUGGGUCAGUCAUCCAAUUGUGGGUCGGGCUGUGGGGCGGAAGGGUCAGUCUGUGGGUCAGUCUGUGGGUCCAUCCCCCCAAAUCUGUGGGUCAAUCUGUGGGUCCAUCCCCCCAUCUAUGGCUCAAUCUAUGGGUCAAUCUAUGGGUCCAUCCCCCCAUCUAGGGGUCCAUCUCUGGGUCCACCCCCCAACCUAUGGGUCCAUCUAUGGGUCAAUCUAUGGGUCCAUCUGUGGGUCCAUCCCCCCAACCUAUGGGUCCAUCAUGGGUCAAUCUAUGGGUCCAUCCCCCAUCUGUGGGUCGAUCUAUGGGUCCAUCUAUGGGUCCAUCCCCCCAUCUGUGGGUCCAUCUAUGGGUCCAUCCCCCAUCUAUGGGUCCAUCUGUGUGUCCAUCUGUGGGUCCAUCUAUGGGUCCAUCUAUGGGUCCAUCUAUGGGUCCAUCUGUGGGUCCAUCUGUGGGUCCAUCUAUGGGUCCCUGCCCCAACCUAUGGGUCCAUCUAUGGGUCCAUCUAUGGGUCCAUCUGUGGGUCCAUCUGUGGGUCCAUCUGGAGGUCCCUGCCCCAACCUAUGGGUCCAUCUAUGGGUCCAUCCCCCCAUCUAUGGGUCCAUCUGUGGGUCCAUCUAUGGGUCCAUCUAUGGGUCCAUCCCCCCAACCUAUGGGUCAAUCUAUGGGUCCAUCUGUGGGUCCAUGCCCCCAUCUAUGGGUUCAUCUAUGGGUCCAUCCCCCCAUCUAUGGGUCCAUCUAUGGGUCCAUCUGUGGGUCCAUCUGUGGGUCCCUCCCCCAUCCGUGGGUCGAUCCGUGGGUCCGUCCCGCACCCUGGGCCCCAGGCUCUGACUCCCCCCCAGCCCCGCGCCGGGCGCUGCCGUGGCUGCGCGACGUGCGCUGGCUGCGGAACCACGUGGUGGCGCCGCUGUCGGAGGAGCUCGUGUUCCGCGCCUGCAUGCUGCCCGUCCUGCUGCCCUGCGCCGGGCCGCGAUACGCCGUGCUGGCCUGCCCGCUCUUCUUCGGCCUGGGUGCUCAUGGGAAACGGCCUAUUAUGGGAUGGGCGGGGGGAAUUAUGGGAUGGGUUGGGGGUUAUUAUGGGAUGGAUUUUGGGGUUAUGUGGGGUCAUGUGGGGUUAUUAUGGGAUGGCUGGGGGG